UGUUACCUACCGCUCAACACCUUCCUCCUGCGGCCACUGCACCGGCUCAUGCACUACAAGCAGGUCCUGGAGCGGCUGUGCAAACACCACCCGCCGAGCCACGCCGACUUCAGGGACUGCCGAGGUGAGUGCCGGGAGCCUGCACCACCUGGUGCCCAUGCCACGGUUCAGGCCGGUUGCUCCCAGACUGAGCCCAGCCAGGGAGGGGCUCUCCAGGGAGAGAGGUCAGCUGAUGCUGGGCCCCAGGUUUUCAUCAGGGCGGGCGGGCACUGGUUUUUACUCCUGCUCUGGUGUUUGGUUACAUCUUGAUUUUUUUUUUUUUGAGACUGAGUCUCACUCUGUUGCCCAGGCUGGAGUGCAAUGGCACGAUCUCGGCUCACUGCAACCUCCACCUCCCGGGUUCAAGCGAUUCUCCUGCCUCAGCCUCUGGAGCACCUAGGAUUACAGGCGCCCGCCACCACGCCCGGCUAAUUUUUGUAUUUUUAGUAGAGACGGGGUUUCACCAUGUUGGUCAGGCUGGUCUCGAACUCCUGACCUUGUGAUCCGCCCGCCUUGGCCUUCCAAAGUGCUGCGAUUACAGGCGUGAGCCAGCCACUGUGCCCGGCCACAUCCUGAUCUUUCCAUAAAGAAGGUGCUAAUGAUCGUCACGACCCCUUUCUUCCUUUCCCUCUUGCAUGCAUUUUCUCCUUUGGUCCCUGGGUGGUUUUGUGCAAAGAUCCCUAGAGAAGAUCCGCUUACAGUUAGCCCCCCACGCCCCAGGAAGCUUGCUUCUACGCACGUGAUGGAAACUCAUCCCUCUGCCAUGGCCACAAAACAUAGCUUGUAACAAAUCCUGUUGCUCAUUGCUGUAAUAUGCCCAUCACCUAGAGAGGUUAAGGAACCUGCCCAGAGUCACACAGCUUGGAGGGAAAUGAUUUGGAACCUAAACCUAGAACCCAUGGUCACAACCGUCCUGCCCUUCCAUCUCAUGGACAGUCCUACCCGCUCGCGCUUGCUCAGCCCCAGGCCAGGUACUGCGUACCUGAUACUAUACCAACGUUCACACCGUUACUCCUUUAAGGACCCCUUUAGAUCAAUUGCAUGAUCCCAUUUUACAGGGAGGGACGCUGAGACUCAGGGGAAGGGACUUGCAGGGUCACUCAGAGGUCAGAGCCGCAUUCCAGACCUGCAUCUCCCACGGGGCCACGCGUGCUUUUCUGAACAGAAGUCGUUCUGUCUGGUGUCACAGUUGGUCUGUGGGUAUCUGUCCUCCCUGGCCUGGCACGCGGAGCUGGCCAUGCGUAGGUGGCUCUUGCACAGGUGGCCCGAAUCCGCACACCCACUAGGAGGGCAAGGCCCUUAUUUCUUGCCUGAAAUGUCAGAAACACCUCCCGACUCUUUGGCCAAACGUGUCAUCUUUUUAAAAAUCCAUCUUCUUACACCUUGGCUUAAAACCUGGGUGACGGCUGACUGCCUCAGGGUAAAAUCGAAAGUCUUCAUGACCUGGUCUGGCCAGCUCUCACACCCCAGCUGCGCAGCGAGCACCUGUACUGGGCAUGUGAGGGAGAAGGAACAGUGCGGCCCCUGACCUCACAGGACCCACUGGAGAGUCUGCAGGCAGGUACCUGGGUGCUGGAGGGCCUGCAGGCAGGUACCUGGGCAGUGGCAACCCUGCACUAGGGCCGUGAGAGAGAAGUGGAUGGUGCACUUGGAGCCGGGCCAUUAGGGGGGUGUUGCGGGGAAUCUCGAAGCGAAAUGGUGUCUAAGUUCAGAACUAAAAUGUAAACGGGGGUUUUCCUGGGUGAAAGGAGGGUGUGGAGAAUAGAGUUAGAAACAGCACAAGCUCAGGUUCAGAGGGGACAGAGACCGGAACAUUGCCAAAAGCGUGCAGGACACAGGGAGAGCCACAAAGUGAGGCUGCGACAGAAAGCAGGGGCCACAUCCCACUGCACCCCAUGGACCCUGCAAAGCUGUAACCUAAGAGCAGAGGCUGAACAGGAAGCGUUUUAAGGAGGGAAACAGUGAUACCAGGCUUGUUCUAGAAAAAUCGUUGUUAAUAUCUAGAAUAUAUGGCGGACUCCUACAAAUUAGUUGUUAAAAAAGGCAACCCAAUAUGUAGAAGACUUGGCAAAGUAAUUGAGACAGUGACAGUUCACAGAAGGGGAACACAAGUGCCUCCUGACAUGGUUUGUCAUUGACCAUCUGUCUUUAAAACAAACCAUGCUGGCCAGGGGUGGUGGCUCACACCUGUAAUCCCAGCACUUUGGGAGGCCAAGACGGGAGGAUCACUGGAGGCUGGGAGUUCAAGAGCAGCGUGGGCAACAUAGUGAGACCUUGUCUCUACAAAAAAUUUAAAAAUUACGAGCAUGCACCUAUAGUGCCGGCUACUCAGGAGGCUGAGGUGUGAGGAUCGCUUGAGCCCAGGAGUUGGAGGCUGCAGUAAGCUAUGAUUGCACCACAGCCCAGGCGACAGACCUAGACCCAGUCUCUAAAAACAAAAACCAUGCUGCCUCUUGCCUCCACACCUUGGCGCAUUCCGUUCCUUCUGCUUAGAGUCCUGGCCACCACCUCCUUGGCCUUUCCUGGCCACCACCUCCUUGGCCUUUCCUGGCCAGCUCUCUCUCGUCCUUUAAGCCUCGGCUUGUGCCUGGCACCUGAUGUUGAGCUGACCUCCUGUCCGCCUUGUCCUGUCACACUGGCGUUGCCUGUGUGUUGGCCGAGCCCGGAGGAAAGGACGCAGGGCCCCUCCUGGCUCUGAGGACUCCUCAGAUCUAUCGCCCAUGGGGGUGAGAGCGGUGUGUGGUUUUGCAGGCGCUGUCCUUGGCGGACUCAUCCAGUUUCAUUCUGCUAUUUCUCUAAACAGUACCCAAUGAGAUAGGCUGUCCUUGAUGAUUGAGGGAAGAGAGUGCUAGCUAGCUUAAAGCAUGAGGUGGCAGCACUGGAGGAGCCUAGAUUUCCAGAGCUAGAGGGACACUGAGUGCCAAGGGCUGUUCCCAGCACGCCCCUGCCCAUGAGCACCGGGGGCCAGGGUGCCAUCAUUCCAUCAUUUUCCUCUCAGAGCUCCCCACUACCCCCCAGCUCUGCCACUGAGCACUGGGUGCCAAGUAAAUGUUUAUUGGACCAAACUGGGUGGUAAUGUCUGAAGAUCGAGCAAGGCCUGGGAUUUGUCGCUAUGGCUGAGACCGCAUUCUCGGAUAAGCCCGGGAGAAUUUAACUCGCAUUGUUGCAGGAAGAAACAAAACUAAAUGCUUCCCUUCCAACACUGAAAUGCUGGGGGAAGGUGGUGAGAGAGGUAUUUAGUGUUCUGAAGACUGAAGUUCAGUCAACAAUUAUUUCUUGCUUUUCUUGACCAAACUACCCAAGUGCUCAGCCGAUGGGGACUUGAGUGCCACCCAAACUUGUCAGCCACUGGGGACUUGCGUGCCACCCAAGCUUGUAUUAAUCAGGCACUAGCUCCUUUUAAAUAUUGGAUGCGCACCAGUAUAGGGGAGCUGUGCCUCUAUUGAAAAAUAAAGGCCUGAUGCGGUAGCUCAUGCCUGUAAUCCCAGCACUUUGGGCGGCCAAGGCGUGUGGAUCGCCUGAGGUCAGGAGUUGGAGACCAGCCUAACCAACAUGGUGAAACCUUGUCUCUACUAAAAAUACAAAAUUAGCCGGGCGUGGUGGCAUGCACCUGUAAUCCCAGCUACUCGGGAGGCUGAGGCAGGACAAUCACUUGAACCUAGGAGGCAGAGGUUGCAGUGAGCUGAGAUUGCGCCAUUGCACUCCAGCCUGGGCAACAAGAGCAAAACUCUGUCUCAAAC
rnacentral:sRNA from 1 species